AUGCUGGCUCAAGAUUAAGCCAUGCAGGUCUAAGUCCAUGCUGUAUUUAAGGUGAAACCGCGAAUGGCUCAUUAUAUCAGUUAUGGUUCCUUAGAUCCUCGGUUACACUUGGAUAACCCUGGUAAUUCUAGAGCUAAUACAUGCAUCCAAACGCCAAACCCUUUGGGAAGGUGUGUUUUUAUCAGCCCAAAACCAAUCGUUGCCUUUCGGUGACGUUAUGAUGGUGAUUCAGAGUAACUUGGUUCGGAUCGCACAGCCUUCGUGCUGGCGACAUAUCUUUCAAAUGUCUGCCUUAUCAACUUGUUGGUUGGUUAAAUGCCAACCAAGGUGGUAACGGGUGACGGAGAAUCAGGGUUCGAUACCGGAGAGGGAGCCUGAGAAACGGCUACCACAUCCAAGGAAGGCAGCAGGCACGCAAAUUACCCACUCCCGGCUCGGGGAGGUAGUGACGAAAAAUAACAAUACGAGACUCAUCCGAGGCUUCGUAAUUGGAAUGGGAACAAUUCAAAUCCUUUAACGAGGAUCUAUUGGAGGGCAAGUCUGGUGCCAGCAGCCGCGGUAAUUCCAGCUCCAAUAGCGUAUAUUAAAGUUGCUGCGGUUAAAAAGCUCGUAGUUGGAUCUCAGUCUCGGUCGGACGGUCCAUUUCACGAUGGUACUGUUCGAAUCGGACAUUUCGCCGCGUUUCUCAGUAUGCUCUUCACUGAGUGUAUUGGGAGAGUGGCACGUUUACUUUGAAAAAAUUAGAGUGCUCAAAGCAGGCAAUUGCCUGAAUCUUCGUGCAUGGAAUGAUGGAAUAGGGCCUCGAUCCUGUUUUGUUGGUUCAAGGGAUUUGAGGUAAUGAUUAAGAGGGACGGACGGGGGCAUUCGUAUUGCGACGUUAGAGGUGAAAUUCUUAGAUCGUCGCAAGACGAACUACUGCGAAAGCAUUUGCCAAGAAUGUUUUCAUUAAUCAAGAACGAAAGUCAGAGGUUCGAAGGCGAUCAGAUACCGCCCUAGUUCUGACCAUAAACGAUGCAAACUGGCGAUCCGUCAGCGUUAAUACCAAUGACUUGACGGGCAGCUUCCCGGAAACGAAAGUGUUCGUGUUCCGGGGGAAGUAUAGUUGCAAAAACGAAACUUAAAGGAAUUGACGGAAGGGCACCACCAGGAGUGGAGCCUGUGGCUUAAUUUGACUCAACACGGGAAAUCUCACCAGGCCCGGACACUGGAAGGAUUGACAGAUUGAUAGCUCUUUCUUGAUUCAGUGGGUGGUGGUGCAUGGCCGUUCUUAGUUGGUGGAGUGAUUUGUCUGGUUAAUUCCGAUAACGAACGAGACCCCGUCCUACUUACUAGACUGUGGAUGAUUAAUGCAUCCUCAGAAUCUUCUUAGAGGGACAACUGGCGUUGAUCUAGCUACAUGAAAUGGGGCAAUAACAGGUCUGUGAUGCCCUUAGAUGUUCUGGGCUGCACACGCGCUACACUGAAGGGAUCAUCGUGUUUAUCCUAGCUUGAAAAAGCCGGGAAACCCGCUGAAUUCUCUUCGUGCUAGGGAUUGAGGCUUGCAAUUUUUUCUCAUGAACGAGGAAUUCCCAGUAAGUGCGAGUCAUAAGCUCGCGCUGAUUACGUCCCUGCCCUUUGUACACACCGCCCGUCGCUACUACCGAUUGGAUGAUUUAGUGAGGCCUUCGGACUGGGCGCUAGUGGGACACGUUAGUGCCCUACUGACGAUCCGGGAAGAUGUUCAAACUGUAUCAUCUAGAGGAAGUAAAAGUCGUUUCGGUUCCUUGA
rnacentral:rRNA from 1 species